rnacentral:rRNA from 1 species
UACGGAGGGGGCUAGCGUUGUUCGGAAUUACUGGGCGUAAAAAGCGUGUAGGUGGUUUAGUUAGUUGAAAGUAAAAGCCCAAGGCUUAACCUUGGAACCGCUUUCAAAACUGCUAGGCUAGAGUACGGUAGAGGAUGAUGGAAUUCCUAGUGUAGAGGUGAAAUUCUUAGAUAUUAGGAGGAACACCAAGGGCGAAGGCAAUCAUCUGGGCCGUCACUGACACUGAGACGCGAAAGCGUGGGGAGCAAACAGG